rnacentral:rRNA from 1 species
GGGCCCGCACAAGCGGUGGAGCAUGUGGUUUAAUUCGAUGAUACGCGAGGAACCUUACCAGGGCUUAAAUGUAGAGUGACAGCUUGAGAAAUCAGGUCUCCUUCGGGCACUCUACAAGGUGCUGCAUGGUUGUCGUCAGCUCGUGCCGUGAGGUGUCGGGUUAAGUCCCAUAACGAGCGCAACCCCUAUUCUUAGUUGCCAGCGAGUAAUGUCGGGGACUCUAAGAAAACUGCCAGCGCAAGCUGUGAGGAAGGUGGGGAUGACGUCAAAUCAUCACGGCCCUUACGUCCUGGGCUACACACGUGCUACAAUGGUAAGUACAGAGGGCAGCCACAUGGUGACAUGGAGCUAA